GUAAAGAAAGCUGAUGGAUUGGUGGGUUUUUACUGUAAUCACGGAAUGUGGUUUUGUCUUUUUAAUUCUACAGCUUGUUUACUGCUGGACUUCCCUUCAGUGGAAAGCCCCUCAACUUUAUCUCACUCCAGCGUGUUCCUAGAGCUCACCAAGAGCACUCAGCCUGUUCCUGCAGAGAACCACAGUGGAAUGUUUCAUGCCGAUGUCCUUGCCAGGAGAAGAAGGCCGGUGCUGCAGACGCUGCGGGCAAACCACCACCGUGAUCAUAUAGAAAAUGGAAGCGGAAUCAGAACGGCUCAGUCCUAAAGGGCAAAUCUUAGCGUUUGUGUGUCAUCAGCUUCUAAAGAAAGAUUUGUGGACAGUGAAAAGACGGCUCAUAAAAAAGUUCUGAGCUUACUGGCACAAGAGCUUCCCAAGAAGUAGGACAUGAAUAUGCAAAACGAGUCCCAGAGAGAAGGCUCUCUCUGGGCAGGCGAAAGGAGGAUACGGGAGAGGAGGAGAGAGGGAGAGGCCGAGCGAGGGAAGCGGGGAAGAGGAGAAGAGGAGGAAGCAGGCUGCUGUGAGUGUUUCUCUGGCAGUGUCUUAGCUGGUUGUUGUGAGGAGUGAGAACGAAGCAAUCAGCAAGUAUACUGCCGCAGAAACUCGUCACCAUACGAGGCCCAACUACCCAACGCUACGACCCUCACACACACACACACACACACACACUUACAGUCCACUUCAGUGCCCUCAUUUAGUACUGAUCAUGAGGUGUAAACAAAUCCCAUGAGUUUAGAAUGAUUUUUUAAGAAAAAUUAUUCAUAAUUACUAUGAUUCAUAUGAUUUAAACUAUUUUGCUACAAUUCAGAAAUAAUUUCUUUAAACAAACUACAUGUACAACCAUAACUGUAAGUUAUUUUACAGAAUUGUAUUUGUUAAAAAUUAAAGUGCAUUCAUAUUUUAUUUAGUGUGUGCUUAAAAAAUUCAAUAUAUUUUAUUUAAUACAAAAAAAUAAAAAAAUUAAAGAUUUAGUGAAUCA
rnacentral:lncRNA from 1 species